GACGAACGCUGGCGGCGUGCUUAACACAUGCAAGUCGAACGGAGUGUCGAACGGGUGUGUAACAUGUGGGUGACAUGCCCUGCACUUCGGGAUAUGCCCGGGGAAAUGGGUCUACUACCGGAUAGUGUGGGGUGGGCCCGCGGCCUCUCAGCUUGUUGGUGGGGUAAUGGCCUGCCGAGGUGGCGACGUGUAGCCGGCCUGCGAGGGUGGACGGCCAAAUUGGGGAGGAGACACGGCCCAGAGGCCGACGGGGGGCAGCAGGGGCGAAUAGUGCACAAUGGGCGGAAGGCUGGUGCAGCGGCGCCGCGGGGUGGAGGGCGGCCAUCGGGUUGUAAACUCCUGUCACCAUCGACGCGGUAGGUGGAGAAGAAGCACCGGCUAACUACGUGCCAGCAGCCGCGGUAAUAC
rnacentral:rRNA from 1 species